UACGAAGGGGGCGAGCGUUGUUCGGAAUUACUGGGCGUAAAGGGCGCGCAGGCGGCCUUAGAAGUCAGAUGUGAAAGCCCCGGGCUCAACCUGGGAAUGGCAUUUGAUACUCUGAGGCUGGAGUACGGGAGAGGAGAGUGGAAUUCCCAGUGUAGAGGUGAAAUUCGUAGAUAUUGGGAAGAACACCGGUGGCGAAGGCGGCUCUCUGGACCGUAACUGACGCUGAGGCGCGAAAGCGUGGGGAGCAAACAGGG
rnacentral:rRNA from 1 species